AGGGACGGAUAUGAUGAUACUGAGUAACACCCAGUAAGUCUGUCUUAGUUUCUCUCACCUUUCUGUUGCUCCUUUAGUGCCAAGCUUAUCUGUUUCCUGGUUUUCUUUUGCCACAGACCUAGCUUGAACUUCGCGCCGCUUCUGAGAUGGUGCUUUGACAUGCUGAGCCAGAUCCCAGAAGCAGGGGAAUGUCACGUCCAGACGAGUGAAAAGCCACGGCGGACCUAAGGCUUCAGCGUGGAAAUGAGUUCUCCUGUGUACAUUGAUGGUGAUUGGAUAGUGUAUAGACAUUCGAUAGCCCAUAACCUCGACACUCGAAGCCCAUAGCCUCCAGUACAUACAUGUAUUGAUAGCCCAUAGCCUCCUGUGUACAUUACCAGUAAAUGAGCUCUCACACUUGACAUUCGGUUCAGUUGGUCCUUGGAUAAAUGAGCGAUUCUUCUG
rnacentral:lncRNA from 1 species